CCUACGGGUGGCAGCAGUAGGGAAUCUUCGUCAAUGGGCGCAAGCCUGAACGAGCGAUGCCGCGUGAGUGAAGAAUGCCUUCGGGUCGUAAAGCUCUGUUGCGGGGGAAAAAAGGCAGCAUCAGGAAAUGGGUGCUGACUGAUGGUGCCCAGACAGAAAGUCACGGCUAACUACGGGCCAGCAGCCGCGGUAAUACGUAGGUGGCGAGCUUUAUCCGGAAUGAUUGGGCGUACAGGGUGCGCAGGCGGUCGUGCAAGUCUGGAGUGAAACGCAUGAGCUCAACCCAUGCAUGGCUUUGGAAACUGGAGGACUGGAGAGCAGGAGAGGGAGGUGGAACUCGAUGUGUAGCGGUAAAAUGCGUAGAUAUAUGGAAGAACACCAGUGGCGAAGGCGGCCGCCUGGCCUGUUGCUGACGCUGAGGCACGAAAGCGUGGGGAGCAAAUAGGAUUAGAUACCCUUGUAGUC
rnacentral:rRNA from 1 species